AGGAAGUAAGCGAUCAGGAAAUGUAGGAACAAUGGCCUUUUCCUGGAAGAGUGGCUCUGAAGGAUGACUAAACGUUCAGCCACGCUGGGCUCUGGGCUCGGCUGGGGAGGAUGAGGCCAGGGGUCUGCUCGCUGGGAGGGGGGGCCCAGGGGUAACUCCCAGUGAUGGGCAGAGCCACCCCCGGAGCUGGUGUAUUAUUUAUGACUCUCUAUCUGGUGAAAAGAAGUGAGAGAUUGUGGCAAGGUUAGGUUGGGCCCGGAGACCAUCAAGCUGUUAAUUGGCAAGAACUGCCACCUGAUUUGAGGCCUUUCGAAAGUUCUUAGUAUCAGGCAGGAAGAGCCAAGAGAGACUGCUUUCAUUUAGUAAGCCCCCAGUUAUUUUCUCUCCGUAAAAAUAAUCAAUCAUAAUUUGUAAAAAAAAUAAAACUACCUCUCGGAAUGUCUUCUCAGCCUGAAGUAAUAAUCAGUGUUAUACUGAAUUAAUGUCACUCCACUCCCGGGCUGGCACAGACUCGGGGUGCUUCACCUAUGCUAAGCAGCCUUACUACCAGCAAAUGUGCAAUUUCUCCUACGCUUUGGGAAAUGUUCCAAAGCCCCCCUGGAGUCUCCCUUCUUUGCUCCUCAGAUCCUUGAGAGGACCAGGAGCUUUGGUGUCUGUUUCACAGGGGUUCCUAGGAAGGGAGGAGGUCCCUUUCCAGUGGAGCAUCGGAUGCAGGCUGUUUCCAUCACUUCCUCAAGAGUCCAGAAACCCCUCCAGGUCCUUGGACUGCAGCUCCAUAGAUCAGACCCCAGGCCAGUCGGUGGCAUGCUUCCUGCUGCCCGUGUGAAGGACACAGCCUGCGACCCAGUCCACCCCACGAUGUCUUCUCAAUUAGGGCAGGCCGGAAAACAACUGUGAUCAGUAUUUCAGCUCUGUGGACAAUUUCCCUCAUGUGGUGGCCCGAUGAUGGAGGCCAUUCAACCGUUCAGCAGGCCGACCAGCUCUGCGACAAUCAUGCUCCAGGCGUGCUCCCCGGCCUGCCCCUUUAGGACUUCUAGGCAUAUAUGUAUAAAAAGUGUUAUGUGAUUCUUAAAGAAAAUUUAAGUCAUCCAUAUUUUUCUUACUGAGGAAUAAUCACUAUUAAAUUCUGAUGUGUGUGGUUUUAGUCUGUUGGCUGUAUACAAGCACAUGCAUACAGACAUUUUUAAACUUUGUGAAAUGUAAGCCCAUAAAGAAUUGUAAGGAUUGUUGCAGCCUAGGGUCCUCACUUAGGACCCUGAAGAAUUCUUGUGACUGGAUAUAAGAGCUAGGGAUUGCUCCCAUUCAUUGGAAUUUAGCUUUUGACUUGAGGAGCUAGGAAGGGUGAAAGACGGCAUCAUCUACAACAUUGCAUUCAGCAGUGUUUUUAGAUCAGAGAAACCAAUUUGAAUGAUUCAUCUUUGUUGAAACUCAAUUUUGGUGUCUGCAUCCCUCCCAACCUCCCUGAAGCAGUUCUUUCAUGCAGAAUAGCAUUUAACAUAAAUCAUAACUCCGGAAAAAAUGAGAGAGUUGCUUCAGUAAACAUAAAAAGUUUAUCUUCUGUUUGAAGCUAAUAUCCAGAAAGUUGUAAUUCUUUCUAUCAAAAUGAAUUGUUAUUAGACUGUUGACUUCAGAUCCUUGCUUUCUUGGUAUUUUCUCAGCUGUAGAUAGGAACAUUACAUGUGGUAAAUAUUGAAUUGUAAUUUGAAGUAUCCAAGGGUGUUUUAAGACUUUUUAAUAUUGUGGAUGUUCUUACUUUUGGAAAAUUCAUGCUGAAUCAUGGCAAACACAUUAAAAUGCAUUCAUAUUAAAUAGAUUUUUUUUGCUAU
rnacentral:lncRNA from 12 species